AGUGCUCGGGUAGGUCAAGUUAUAUUGUAAGCCAUUUGGACGGCCAAGUUUUUUGAACUGUCAGCAAAUAUAUACAUGAGUAUUUCUCAGUAUAAUACAGUUGUUAUUAUUAUCAGAACUUUGCAGAUGUCAGAAAUGGGUGGCAUGUCCGCAUGCCAGAUGGAAGAUUUCCAAGGGAUGUAUAUCGCCCAGGGAGCCAGACUGCAAUGACGUCCAGACUAACCUACAGAGAUGACUGCAAGAGAGACCACAACUAGCAAUGAAAGUACAAGGGGAGGAAAUCACCUAAUAUUGGACAGCAAAUAAACAAUAUACAAAUGUGGGCAUAUAGACAAUGUUGGUACAGACAUGGCGAGACUGUGGCUUCCUAUUUAUCUUCUGACUGGUUGCAGGUUGUCACAAGCCAAGAUAACUGAGUGGGUGACCUAUUCUUAAGAAAUUUUACAAUAAAAUUGCAACUCCUAUGACGUCAUUCACUAGUAUUUUCUAACAUUGCUAACAGGACUAUAUAAUGCAUAUGACGUCAUUUAUUUAUGUGCUUUAGAAAUGACUAGUAAAGAUACAGUUACUUCAGAAACAACUUGAGAUUUGACAGAACGCCAUCAAGAAAUAAGGUCAAGAGAAUCGUGAAAUUGUGUACAAAGGAAAUCGAGCAUAAUGUCGAGGUUCAUUGAAUCAGUUGGUUUCUUCAAUUCACAUUACAAGUGUGGUCUUAUAAACUAUCUGAUGUGAAUUCAAUCGUGUGAAUCUAAUAUUUCGAAUUUCACUUUGUGUAUUACUUUCUGUUUUUUUUUUUUUUUUUUUUUUUUUUUUUUUUUUUUUUUUUUACUAAGUUUGUUGUGUUUAUAAAAGGACAAAGAAUUCGUGAAAUCAUAGCAACGUGAAUGAAACACUGGCUGGCAUAACACAACGCAUCACAUAUUAACACCCACAGAAUAAAAAAAAGUUACAUCUAAUUUAAACGCUAAAAAAUUGUUUCUUACGUUACAUAGCACACAAUUACAGUGUGAAGUAACGGAUUUAAUUUGAUUUUUUUUUGGGUAUUGUAUGUGGUAGAUAUAUUGUUAAAUAUUAAUGAUAAAAGAUUUUAGAACUGAUUAAAGUUUAUGACACCAAAUGUAUCUUUCAAAUUGAAAAAUAUCUCUUGUUUAAACUAAAACAUUUCUAGGGAAGAUAAUUGCUAUUUAGCCAUGGUUAGAAGUUGCUUUGCAGUGGUAAUUCUGAGUGCAUUUUUGUACCCGGAUAAAGGGUUAAAAAUACAACUUCAUUCUUUUUUAUAUCAGCUUUCAAUGUCACGUGAUCUCCUUCUCUAUCAGUCCCAUCAUCCUUCCUGUACUCAUCAACUGCUUCCUGUCUGUAGUCUGUAUACAUUCUAUAGCACAAUGAAAGCAGUUUCUAGCUCAAUUAGCUCUUGGAGAUGACAUCUUUUUUUUUUUUACAAAACAACUAAAGUUUAGAAGCUGGAGGUUUCUGUUUCGUUCCAGCCUACAUGGCCCAUAGGUGACACGGACUAAAAAGAGACAAAAAUAACUCCAUUUUUAGUAGAAAUCUGCGAACUUAUCUUUGACUAUAUUUGCCAUAGUAUAUCAGUACUUUUUAAUGAGAUGAACACUAGUCGCUCCGCCUGAAAGAUGCUAACAACUGGAAAAACAUAUUUGAGCAAGGUGUGUGGAACAUAGUGAAACAAAUGGACGAUGUACUUACAUACAAAACUGUAAUGAGGAAGAGAAUCAGCCCCUCCCCCACCAAAAAAAAAAAUUAAAAAAUCCUCACAUGUGCUAGGAGAACAUAGGCAUCAACAGUGUGCUGGUCGCUUCAUUGUCAAGACAUUUAUGAAUAUAACUUGAAAAUGCUGAGUGCAAUGCUUUACAAUAAGAAGAUAUUUACACCUUGAAUUUCA